AUUGAACGCUGGCGGCAGGCUUAACACAUGCAAGUCGAGCGGAGUGGCGAACGGGUGAGUAAUGUAUCGGAACGUGCCCAGUAGCGGGGGAUAAAUACGCGAAGGCGUAGCUAAUACCGCAUACAUUUCGACCGGCCGAUAUCGGAUUAGCUAGUUGGUGGGGUAACGGCUCACAAAGGCGACGAUCCGUAGCUGGUUUGAGAGGACGACCAGCCACACUGGGACUGAGACACGGCCCAGACUCCUACGUGAGGCAGCAGUGGGGAAUUUUGGACAAUGGGGGAAACCCUGAUCCAGCCAUCCCGCGUGUGCGAAGAAGGCCUUCGGGUUGUAAAGCACUUUUGGCAGGGAAGCGGUACCUGCAGAAUAAGCACCGGCUAACUACGUGCCAGCAGCCGCGGUAAUAC
rnacentral:rRNA from 1 species